GAUGAACGCUGGCGGCGUGCCUAAUACAUGCAAAUCGAGCGAACGGACGAGAAGCUUGCUUCUCUGAUGUUAGCGGCGGACGGGUGAGUAACACGUGGAUAACCUACCUAUAAGACUGGGAUAACUUCGGGAAACCGGAGCUAAUACCGGAUAAUAUUUUGAACCGCAUGGUUCAAAAGUGAAAGACGGUCUUGCUGUCACUUAUAGAUGGAUCCGCGCUGCAUUAGCUAGUUGGUAAGGUAACGGCUUACCAAGGCAACGAUGCAUAGCCGACCUGAGAGGGUGAUCGGCCACACUGGAACUGAGACACGGUCCAGACUCCUACGGGAGGCAGCAGUAGGGAAUCUUCCGCAAUGGACGAAAGCCUGACGGAGCAACGCCGCGUGAGUGAUGAAGGUCUUCGGAUCGUAAAACUCUGUUAUUAGGGAAGAACAUAUGUGUAAGUAACUGUGCACAUCUUGACGGUACCUAAUCAGAAAGCCACGGCUAACUACGUG
rnacentral:rRNA from 1 species